AGGGCUGGAAAAGCCGGGACACAUCCAGCAGCGUCUCGAAACGUGCCACUUUUCUUCCCUCUUAAAUCAAAGGCGUUCGGGGGCACGUUCCCCGGGGCAGGGCCGGCGAGCGACCCCCCGAAAUUACGACGCUCUGUUUCUCAUCGGGAAAUUUCCCGAUGGGGGAUAAUGGCUGGAAAAUGCAGCGGAGCAGCGCCUCGCUUCCCUUUGCUCCGCUAGCUCGGCGUGCCUCGGGAGCGCACGCUGAAGGAGCCCUGGCUUUCCCUAGCACGGCUAGUCCUUGCUCCCGAAAUUUCUGAAUUAGAUGGCCAUAACGGGGCAGAAGCAGCUCUGAAGUGGACCUCUCGGUUAAUUCUUUAGCAAAGGCUGCGGAAAGCCAGGAGAGCCUCAAGAGGGGAGGGGAUAAUGCAUCCGUGACGUGUCCUCCCGCGCAGCGCCCUCCGAGGGACCCAAAUGCAGAGGAGCCAGAAAAGAGCCGCAAUUAGCACUUGCGAUGGGACGGGGGGCCGGGCCGGGGGGAGCCGGGGGCGGAGGCCCUUUGCUGUGGCAGCCCGAGCCCGCUCCCCCCGACCUCCGCGAGCGGCCGGCGGAGCCCCAGGACCCCCUUGCCCCGUACCCUGCCCUCGCUUGGUGCUUGGCCGUGACCCCGCAGCGCCGAGGGAGCCCCUCGAACCCUCCCCGGGUGUGUGUGGGACCCCCUUCCCAGACCCACGGCAGCUCCAUGAAGUCACCCCAAGCCCUUUCCCCCGUUCUUUUGGCUCUGGUUAAAACGUACCUGCUCACCCACA